GCUAAUAUUACCCUGAUACUAAAACCAGAAAAAGACAGUGAAAAAAAAAAAAAAGAAAGAAAGGAAGCAUUGAUGCGGCUGUCCAGCCUGUUGGAUCAGCUGCAACCCACCCUUCCAGGUCCCCAGCCAGCUUUCAGUAGGGCAGGGGAAAAAGGGUAUGGACUGAGGGGUCUCCCUGGGCUGGGCCGAGCAGGAGGAGGCUGAGCAGUGAAAACGGUGACCCCUGCCCUCACGGAGCUAACGAGAAGAGCAAAUGGCUGGCAACGGUGCAUGACACAGAAUGAGCAACGGGCUGCACACAUCGCGAUUUACGUGGCUUUGGAAAAAACGCGUCUCACAAGUUGGGGCUGUCAUACAUUGGCUUCUUGGUAAUCAAUGCGUUUCAGCAAUAUAUGGGGGUGAGUUUAGUUUCCAGUUGGCUUCCCUGAGGGUGUUGGAUAAAAUUGCAAUUUAGAUUCA
rnacentral:lncRNA from 1 species